GAUAGCAUUAUGUAGUAUAUAUUGUCAAUAUACGUUUAGUUUGAUUUUUUACUUUCGUUCUAAUUCACGUAAAUACGGUUCAAUCGCUUGGCGAAAACGACGCAUUCUGCUCCGAGUUCUUCGUUUCUUAUAUAUAAUAUUUUUUUUUUGGUUUUUUGAUAUAUUUUAGGCUGAAUUACGAACUCUAUUUUAAACGAACUUGGAAAAUAUUAUUGUUAAACUUUCAAGCAAACAAAUUAUUAGAAAAAAUAGAAACGAAAAAUAUUGAUUAGUGUCACGAAUGACUGACUGUUAUAUGACAUAUGAACUGAAACGAACAGGAAAAAAUUCAAUUAGUAAAUCCAUCCGUCAUACAAUUUAUAUGCAUUUGUCCAAAUACAUGCGUUACAGUUUUACCGCUUCAACACGCUUACACGCUCAUCAUAAUAAUUAAUUAUAAUUUGCAUUCAUUCGCGAAAAAAAUU